rnacentral:lncRNA from 1 species
UGUAGACCGGAGCUGUUCCUAUUCGGCCAUCUUGGCUCCUCCUACGUUUCAUAAAUUUCUAAGAUCAGCAAUGUGGGAGACAGGAGCUUCACCUUCAGGCUGGAUUCCAUGAUGGAGAAAACACAUGGAGCAGACCAGCAGUUAUUUGCAGCUAUCAUGUGAGCAAUGCCUGGGGAAGCUCUGGAAGCGUAACCACACUGGGAUGGUGAAGGGGAAUUAGUCAAUGACUUUGGGUAACACCUGGAAUUUGACCUGCAGACUGGAAUACAGCUUCCUAUUAAAAUGUUUCAUUCUUAUAAGUCUUGUGUGCAUUUACGGCUUUAAGGAAGAAAUUCUCUCAGGCUUAAGACAUAAAUUAAAGCCAUAUAGUGUCAGUUUCAAUAAGAGCCUCUGUUUUUCAAAUUUUUUGACUUUCACUUAGAAAGACAACACUGUACUAGGAGGUUACUCUUUUUGAUCAGUCUCAACAUUUUUCUAGCUGUUCUCAACUCCCCUUCAAAAGUAUUUCCCACUAGAAUUACAUGAAUGUUGUGCCCCCAAGGUGAAUGCAGUGUUUGGAACAACAAAAUAUUGAUUUCCCAUUGUGUAACUUCCAUUUAAUUUAAACCAAAAUGCAAGAAGGGGAAAGGGUUGGUAGGAGAGUACGCUGAUAUAACCCUUUCCAGUGAUCCUUAAAAACUUCACACAUUUCCAGUGCUGAAUUUUGUUGACAGACACUU